GGGUGGAGCUGCCGCAGGUGCAGAUCUUGGUGGUCGUAGCAAAUAUUCAAAAGAGCACUUUGAAGGUCCAAGUGGAGAAGGGUUCCAUGUG
rnacentral:miRNA from 14 species